UUCUUGCUUCUCUAAGUUGUGGAUUUUGUGU
rnacentral:piRNA from 1 species